UACGGAGGACCCGAGCGUUAUCCGGAUUCAUUGGGUUUAAAGGGUGCGUAGGCGGAAUGAUAAGUCAGUGGUGAAAUCCUGUAGCUUAACUGCAGAACUGCCAUUGAUACUGUCAAUCUUGAGUACAGCUGAUGUGGGCGGAAUAUGACAUGUAGCGGUGAAAUGCUUAGAUAUGUCAUAGAACACCGAUUGCGAAGGCAGCUCACAAAACUGUAACUGACGCUGAGGCACGAAAGCGUGGGGAUCAAAC
rnacentral:rRNA from 1 species